CAUGUAGGCGGUUGUUUAAGUCGGACGUGAAAGCUCCUGGCUCAACUAGGAGAGGCCGUUCGAAACUAGACAACUCGAGGGUGGUAGAGGAGAGUGGAAUUCCCGGUGUAGUGGUGAAAUGCGUAGAUAUCGGGAGGAACACCAGUGGCGAAGGCGGCUCUCUGGGCCAUUCCUGACGCUGAGAUGCGAAAGCUAGGGGAGAGAACG
rnacentral:rRNA from 1 species